rnacentral:rRNA from 1 species
GACGAACGCUGGCGGCGUGCCUAAUACAUGCAAGUCGAGCGAAGCGGCGGAUGGGUGAGUAACGCGUGGGUAACCUGCCCUUAAGUCUGGGAUACCAUUUGGAACCAGAUGCUAAUACCGGAUACUAAAGGAUGGACCUGCGAUGCAUUAGCUAGGGGGUAAGGUAACGGCUUACCAAGGCGAUGAUGCAUAGCCGAGUGGAGAGACGUAGCGGACACAUUGGGACUGAGACACGGCCGAAACGCCGACGGGAGGCAGCAGGAGGGAAUUGUCCACAAUGGACGAAAGUCUGAUGGAGCAACGCCGGGUGAGUGAAGAGGGUUUUCGGAUCGUAAAUCUCUGUUGUGAGUGAAGCGGUAAUCAACCAGAAAGUCACGGCUAACUACGUGCCAGCCGCCGCGGUAAUU